GAACGUACAUGGGGAGACACCAUGGUCGCGAAGGUGGUUUUCCCAGGGCGAGGCUCAUCCAUUGCACUCCGGCUGUGCUGACCCCUGCGAUUUCCCCAAUGUGGGAAACUCGACUGCAUAAUUUGUGGUAAUGGAGGACUGCGUUCACAUUCUUCCC